GAAUAUUGGUCAAUGCCCGCAAGGGUGAACCAGCCAUCCAGCGUGCAGGAAGAAGGCCCUAUGGGUUGUAAACUGCUUUUGUCAGGGAAUAAACCUGUGGAUUUACUCCGCAGCUGAAGGUACCUGAAGAAUAAGCACCGGCUAACUCCGUGCCAGCAGCCGCGGUAAUACGGAGGGUGCGAGCGUUAUCCGGAAUUACUGGGUUUAAAGGGUGCGUAGGCGGCUUUGUAAGUCAGGAGUGAAAGUUUGCGGCUCAACCGUAAAAUUGCUUUUGAUACUGCGAGGCUAGAAUUAGGAUGAGGUCAGCGGAAUGUGGCAUGUAGCGGUGAAAUGCAUAGAUAUGCCAUAGAACACCAAUUGCGAAGGCAGCUGGCUAGACCUGGAUUGACGCUGAGGCACGAAAGCGUGGGGAGCGAACAG
rnacentral:rRNA from 1 species